rnacentral:snRNA from 1 species
AGCUUUGUGCAGUGGCAGUUAUCGUAGCCAAUGAGGUUUAUCUGAGGCGUGAUUAUUGCUAGCUGAAGACUUUUCCCAGCCUCUGUCAUUAUACCAAAAUAGUUAAGAUGAUAAACACGGAAGCUUGCUUUAUGUGGAUCAUGGCUUUAGAAGUUCAACUAUAUGA